rnacentral:rRNA from 1 species
GUUGUGGAGCGUGUGCUUUUAUUAUACAAAAACCAAGCAAUCGGUGAUUCCGCAUCAUCGAUUGUUAAAAUUUGGUUGAACUCUGAAUAACUUGCUGAUCGUAUGGUCUUGUACCGAUGACAGAUCUUUCAAAUGUCUGCCCUAUCAACUUUUGAUGGUAGUAUAUUGGACUACCAUGGUUGCUACGGGUAACGGGGAAUCAGGGUUCGAUUCCGGAGAGGGAGCCUGAGAAACGGCUACCACAUCUAAGGAAGGCAGCAGGCGCGUAAAUUACCCACUCCCAGCUCGGGGAGGUAGUGACGAAAAAUAACAAUACAGGACUCAUUUUAGAGGCAUUGUAAUUGGAAUGAGUACACUUUAAAUCCUUUAACAAGGACCUAUUGGAGGGCAAGCCUAGUGCCAGCAGCCGCGGUAACUCUAGCUCCAAUAGCGUAUAUUAAAGUUGUUGCGGUUAAAACGUUCGUAGUUGAAUUUGUGCUUCAUACGGGUAGUAUCGGUUAUAAAUGUAGUCGAUUACUAUACCUUAUGUAUGUAAGCGUAUUACCGGUGGGAGUUCCAUAUUUGUAUAUUUGUGUUGGAAUGCGGUGUGGCGUUAUUGUCUUGAUGAAUGUUUUGUCGUUUCGAUGACAUUGCAUCUCGUCAUUAGCAUGGCGUUGUAAUCCAUCCAACCGGUUUACAGAUAUACUCCUGAUUUUCUUUUUUUUUUAAAUAAAGAAAAAGAAAAACCCAUUUCGGUGCUCUUUAUCGGGUGUUGUUGUGGGCCGGUACAAUUACUUUGAACAAAUUAGAGUGCUUCAAGCAGGCUAUAAAAUGCCUGAAUAUUUUGUGCAUGGAAUAAUGAAAUAAGACCUCUGUUCUACUUUCAUUGGUUUUUAGAUCGAAAGAGGUAAUGAUUAAUAGAAGCAGUUUGGGGGCAUUAGUAUUACGACGCGAGAGGUGAAAUUCUUGGACCGUCGUAAGACUAACUUAAGCGAAAGCAUUUGCCAAAGAUGUUUUCAUUAAUCAAGAACGAAAGUUAGAGGUUCGAAGGCGAUCAGAUACCGCCCUAGUUCUAACCAUAAACGAUGCCAGCUAGCAAUUGGGUGUAGCUAAGAUUAUGGCUCUCUCAGUCGCUUCCCGGGAAACCAAAGCUUUUGGGCUCCGGGGGAAGUAUGGUUGCAAAGCUGAAACUUAAAGGAAUUGACGGAAGGGCACCACCAGGAGUGGAGCCUGCGGCUUAAUUUGACUCAACACGGGAAAACUUACCAGGUCCGAACAUAAGCGUGUAAGACAGAUUGAUAGCUCUUUCUCGAAUCUAUGGGUGGUGGUGCAUGGCCGUUCUUAGUUCGUGGAGUGAUUUGUCUGGUUAAUUCCGAUAACGAACGAGACUCAAAUAUAUUAAAUAGAUGCUUACAGGAUUAUGGUGUUGAAACUUUUGUAGCCUUCAUUCCUGUUGUGAAUGAGUUCAUUGUUGNCNGNNUUUGUUAUGCAAAUGUNUGCGGCNUUNUGNGUUGUAUGCAUUUCAUUCAUUUNCUUAAUNCAUUAGCUCAUUUUACAUAUGUUUGAAUGUGUUUUAUAGAAGUGGAGCCGUACCUGUUGGUUUGUCCUAAAUAUU